UGCUGCAGUUAACCGCGGAAAAUGUUGCUGAAACUUGCUUCUUUAGCUUUUUAUGUCUUGAGUUUGGUGAGCUUGAGUUUGGCUGAUGCAAAAAUUGAUCAUGAGGUAAACAUUGCUGACAAUCAAAAUGUAACAGAUUCUGCGUUUGGAACAGCGAGAACGGAAGUGAUAAUUUUCCAAAAUGGAACAUAUUUAAAAACUGAUGUUAAAAGUGGAGAGUCGGGAAAAGCGGUUUUAGCUGGUAUCGACAAGGAAGCGUUGCAGACAAUUGCUGGCUUGAAAAUCUACGUCAUUAACUAUGGUGCCGUAACGUUCUGGCAGGCUGCCCUUAGAUGUAUCGACCAAGGGUUAAAGCUGGCAUCGGUUGAUAAUUUCAUAAAUACGAAUACACUCUCGAUACUUCUUCCUGGAUCGAGAGCCAUAUUUUGGGUGGCUGGCACGGAUGAGGGCAACGAAGGCCAAUGGAUUUGGCUCAAUCUACAGAAGAGAAUCUUGUUCUACACUAACUGGGCCGCUGGCCAGCCAGAUAAUGGCGGAGGAGCUGGACCUGAAAACUGCCUGGAAAUCAACAGAUUUGGUGGCUUCACCUGGAACGAUGCGCCCUGCUCGGGUGCAAUCUUGAAUAAUUACAUUUGUGAAUUUUAGAUGGAGUCUGUUUUAUUUUCACCAAUAAAUGGACAAUCGAA